CCUACGGGAGGCAGCAGUGGGGGAUAUUGCACAAUGGGGGAAACCCUGAUGCAGCGACGCCGCGUGGGUGAAGGAGUGCUUCGGCAUGUAAAGCCCUAUCGGCAGGGAAGAAGCAAGACGGUACCUGACUAAACAGCCACGGCUAACUACGUGCCAGCAGCCGCGGUAAGACGUAGGGGGCGAGCGUUAUCCGGAUUCACUGGGUUUAAAGGGAGCGUAGACGGCCCAGCAAGCCAGGGGUGAAAGCCCGGGGCCCAACCCCGGGACUGCCCUUGGAACUGCAUGGCUGGAGUGCGGGAGGGGCAGGCGGAAUUCCUGGUGUAGCGGUGAAAUGCGUAGAUAUCAGGAGGAACACCGGCGGCGAAGGCGGCCUGCUGGGCCGCGACUGACGUUGAGGCUCGAAAGCGUGGGGAGCGAACAGGAUUAGAUACCCGUGUAGUC
rnacentral:rRNA from 1 species